GAUGAACGCUGGCGGCGUGCCUAAUACAUGCAAGUCGAGCGAACAGACGAGGAGCUUGCUCCUCUGACGUUAGCGGCGGACGGGUGAGUAACACGUGGAUAACCUACCUAUAAGACUGGGAUAACUUCGGGAAGCCGGAGCUAAUACCGGAUAAUAUAUUGAACCGCAUGGUUCAAUAGUGAAAGACGGUUUUGCUGUCACUUAUAGAUGGAUCCGCGCCGCAUUAGCUAGUUGGUAAGGUAACGGCUUACCAAGGCGACGAUGCGUAGCCGACCUGAGAGGGUGAUCGGCCACACUGGAACUGAGACACGGUCCAGACUCCUACGGGAGGCAGCAGUAGGGAAUCUUCCGCAAUGGGCGAAAGCCUGACGGAGCAACGCCGCGUGAGUGAUGAGGGUCUUCGGAUCGUAAAACUCUGUUAUUAGGGAAGAACAAAUGUGUAAGUAACUAUGCACGUCUUGACGGUACCUAAUCAGAAAGCCACGGCUAACUACGUG
rnacentral:rRNA from 1 species